GUAAUUUAGACAUCCAAAAUCGUAAAUCACUGAGGAGUGUACGUACCUAUCUGCAGAUGAUCUUCACACUUUUUUAUCAUAUUUGUAAGCUCCAAAUUAUCCCCUUCAAACCAAACCUAGCGAUAACCACGAAUCCACUUAUAAGAACAUUAAGAAAAGUUUAGAAAAAAAAAAAAAAAAAAAAAAAAAAAAAAACAUUAAGAAAACCCAAAGCUUCAUGGGUUUUGGAGACAUGUGCAACUUUCUUGUCCAUGCCCUCUUCUGAAAAUCGAAGUAGCUGUAUGGGCUUAGUUCGAGAGCCUCAGGCCCUCAGCUCUUGAAUAUAU
rnacentral:lncRNA from 1 species